rnacentral:lncRNA from 1 species
UUUUGACUUAUCCGUUUAGCCCGACAAUCGAGGCGCCAUCAACUCCGAAAUUUAUUGCGCCUCCUAGAUUCCCGCGCCUGCCAUUUCCAUUUCAGCUCCGACCUUUAAAUAUCGACAGGGAUACCCCUUUGAAUUUUACCUUGCUCCUCCCUUCGUCUUCCACCUCGAGUCUGAACCUUCAUCGUGUCGCCGAUGUUCGUCCGAUCAUCAAGAGAUCCGAUCCAAGAGAUC